rnacentral:rRNA from 1 species
AUUAUACCGUGAAACUGCGAAUGGCUCAUUAAAUCAGUUAUCGUUUAUUUGAUAAUACCUUACUACUUGGAUAACCGUGGUAAUUCUAGAGCUAAUACAUGCUGAAAAUCCCGACUUCGGAAGGGAUGUGUUUAUUAGAUAAAAAACCAAUGCCCUUCGGGGCUUUUUGGUGAUUCAUGAUAACUUUACGGAUCGCAUAGCCUUGCGCUGGCGACGGUUCAUUCAAAUUUCUGCCCUAUCAACUUUCGAUGGUAAGGUAUUGGCUUACCAUGGUUUCAACGGGUAACGGGGAAUUAGGGUUCGAUUCCGGAGAGGGAGCCUGAGAAACGGCUACCACAUCCAAGGAAGGCAGCAGGCGCGCAAAUUACCCAAUCCCGACACGGGGAGGUAGUGACAAUAAAUACUGAUACAGGGCUCUUUUGGGUCUUGUAAUUGGAAUGAGUACAAUUUAAACCUCUUAACGAGGAACAAUUGGAGGGCAAGUCUGGUGCCAGCAGCCGCGGUAAUUCCAGCUCCAAUAGCGUAUAUUAAAGUUGUUGCAGUUAAAAAGCUCGUAGUUGAAACUUGGGCCUGGCUGGCGGGUCCGCCUCACCGCGUGCACUCGUCCGGCCGGGCCUUCCUUCUGAAGAACCUCAUGCCCUUCACUGGGCGUGCUGGGGAAUCAGGACUUUUACUUUGAAAAAAUUAGAGUGUUCAAAGCAGGCCUUUGCUCGAAUACGUUAGCAUGGAAUAAUAAAAUAGGGCGUGCGUUUCUAUUUUGUUGGUUUCUAGAGACGCCGCAAUGAUUAACAGGAACAGUCGGGGGCAUCAGUAUUCAGUUGUCAGAGGUGAAAUUCUUGGAUUUACUGAAGACUAACUACUGCGAAAGCAUUUGCCAAGGAUGUUUUCAUUAAUCAGUGAACGAAAGUUAGGGGAUCGAAGACGAUCAGAUACCGUCGUAGUCUUAACCGUAAACUAUGCCGACUAGGGAUCGGGCGAUGUUCUUUUUCUGACUCGCUCGGCACCUUACGAGAAAUCAAAGUUUUUGG